rnacentral:rRNA from 1 species
CCAGAGAUGGAUUGGUGCCUUCGGGAACGCUGAGACAGGUGCUGCAUGGCUGUCGUCAGCUCGUGUUGUGAAAUGUUGGGUUAAGUCCCGNAACGAGCGCAACCCUUAUCCUUUGUUGCCAGCGAUUCGGUCGGGAACUCAAAGGAGACUGCCGGUGAUAAACCGGAGGAAGGUGGGGAUGACGUCAAGUCAUCAUGGCCCUUACGAGUAGGGCUACACACGUGCUACAAUGGCGCAUACAAAGAGAAGCGACCUCGCGAGAGCAAGCGGACCUCAUAAAGUGCGUCGUAGUCCGGAUCGGAGUCUGCAACUCGACUCCGUGAAGUCGGAAUCGCUAGUAAUCGUGGAUCAGAAUGCCACGGUGAAUACGUUCCCGGGCCUUGUACACACCGCCCGUCACACCAUGGGAGUGGGUUGCAAAAGAAGUAGGUAGCUUAACCUUCGGGAGGGCGCUUACCACUUUGUGAUUCAUGACUGGGGUGAAGUCGUAACAAGGUAGGCGUAGCGAG